AAAUGAAGCAGUUGCCCCACUACAUUCUGAAUGACUGAAAAACUGUGGAAGCAGAGGCAUCAGUAGGAUAGAGGGCUAUUGCAUCCAGCAGUCAGAAUGUUCUACAAUAAUUCCACGGCCUCAGCUCAUUUUUAGGUUCUUGUGUCUGACGUUCUGCCUCUCUUACUUCUCAGGUGCCUGAUUUCUUUUGCCUCGCCUGAGAACAGGUCUGUUUUGCUCAAUGUCCUACAAUAUUUGAUAGAACUGGAUUCAAAUAUGGUGCUUCAUCAGCUGAUUCCCCUAUCUAUCAUAUGCAGGUCUGAAACUAAAGGUGCCAUGGAAUUGUCUCCCAUAUAAUUCUGAAAGUGCUUGAUCUACUAUCUCUUAAUCCCAAGACUUGUCAUUCAGAGGUCACCAUCCUCUUAGAAGGAAGAAUCAGUAAUAGAAAACAGAAGUAAUAGACUCACUCCUGCAUAGUAAGUCUCUCUGUAUUAGCUGAUCAGAAGUAAGGGGCAGCUCCAUUGGCCUGUUACCUUGGAUCAUCAUGAGUAAAAACAUUCGGAUGGUAGAAAGUAGAGGGAAAUGAUUGGCAAUUAAAGGCCUAGAAGUAAUUUUCUUUGGAAUUUUUUUUUCUCCUCAUCUUUCAAGUUGAUGUGGACAUUUCUCUUUGAAUGGCGCAGCCAAUAGGUGAGUUGAUUCUUGGUGAUAAUCAUAGAUAAGGUUAAUCUCAGGAUUAGGUUAAAAAAAAAAAGAGGGGGAAUAAGCACUUUCUCCCUAAAUAUUUCCUACUGAAAUAAUCACUGUUGCAAUCACAGAAUGUCUCCUAUAACUCUUUGAAAUGAUUGAAGUGAGCCCUCACAUUCUUUCUGGCAAGGUGAAUUCCUGGGUACCUUUCACAAAGUAGAACUUCCAACCGCAUUGGCAUUUCCAAGAAUAUAUCUGGAAAAAAACAAAUGAAUCUUAACUCUCUAAGAGCUCUUUGUCUGUUUUUAACCAGUGGUGAGAAAUAUAAGUGGGGACAGUGAAGAACAACCUGUACCAUACAUAUUGGACAGUCUUCAGUUUUGAGAGCUGGAAAGCCUUUUAGAGAUCAU
rnacentral:lncRNA from 1 species